UUAAGUAGGAAGGUUCAGAAUACAAAUGCAUACAAGUAUAAGGGUCUAUCAGACCAUUUUGCCUGUUUAUUGUUCCACAAAAAAUAAAUGGACUUAUCAAUCUUAGUCUUCAACAAGUAUCUUAUUUCCUCCGACCGCCGAAGGCACCAACCGCAUCUGCAAAUCUUCAAAACACAAAACCCUUUUUUCAAUGAACAAAUUAUAAAAAGCUAAAAAUUUAAAAUUAAUCCAAAAUUACAAAGAAGGGAGGAAAAAAAAACACAUGGGAGGAGUGAAUGAGAAGAUUCUAAAGGUUAAGUAAUUUGGACGACAAUUGAUUCUUCAUUAGUUUUAGGGUUUGGGAGAGCAACCUAUAGUUUGGGUUCAUCGCUACUUUUUCCAAAUCGAAUGUGCAGUCGCCCUCUCCAUCUUUAAUUCGUAAUUCCACCAUUACGUUGUGUUGUGUGAUCAAUCUUGUCGGCAAUCCAUUUUACUAGUGAGAACCUUUGGAUUGAGAGGGGAGAAAGAAUGGAAAUUUGGAAGAAAAUUGGAAGAAAGAGAUUUUUUUUUUAAUUUUGGGGAUCUAAUUUAAUUUUAUCUUUUAUUUUUUAUGUGGCAAUUAAAAAUGACGUGGAACUUGACGUGAAAUGAUUGUAUUACACGCACCAUCCAUUAUAUGAGAAAAGGUAUAAAAUAUCGAGUUUCAAUGAGUUUAGAGAUUUAGUUAGUAAAGAAUUAAGUACAAAUAUAUUCACAAUAUAGACACAUAUAAGUACAAGAAUCUAGCAGAUCCUUUUGCCUUAAAAAUUAAUAAUAUUUAUUUAUAAAAAUACCUGCACAUUUUUUAACUUAAGAAAAUAAAAAAUGUUUUGAGAAGGAUUUUUGCCCAUAUUACCCCCAUAUAGCCGGUAUGAUUCAGAGGAAGAUUUUCACCCAUAUUAGCCCCAGAAAAUGGAUAAAGCUGUUUGGGAGAAGUACUACCAACAGGUUAAGAAAAGCGAGGGAUUUGAUAUCACAGAUUAUCCCGUACAGAGUGCGAUGACAACUGUCUACCCAAUGCCAUACUACUUGAAUGAUCCUAAGAAUGUUGGCAUACAAUGAUGAAACGGGCAUCAAUUAUGAGGUCAAUGGCAUUUCGAUGGUGAAUGGAAGUGGUUGUCGUGACUUCAUCUUCUAUAUCACCUCUUCUGUUAAACGUCUGAUGCCUUGCUACAGCAAACUAGCAAUCUAAGUUAGAUCCCUUGUAUUUGGUGCUGGAAAGUCUGAAGCAUUUCUGCAUGCUGUUAAAUGAGCACCAAACUCAGGUGCUCAAACUAUUUCUUGCCUGUGUGCUUUUUUCCUUUGAUAAGGGAUUUCUUGCUUGUAUUCUCAAGUAUUUACCUAGUGAUAAAUGUCAGUUUAAUAACUUCAGCUGGUGUAAUUGGGUUGAUUUUGGCAAAUUCAGUAAGUAUCCUCAUGACAUCUUUGAAGUGUUAGGAUUUGUUUAUUGCCUGAGUUUUGAUGUACCUUCCUUUCUUUUUAACAAAAAAUAAAAAGAAAAUCUUGAUCCUUCUUAGUGCUUCAGUUCUUGGUCAGAAUUAAGGUCACCUCCUCUAAUGUGCGAAAAAAUAAAUUUGGUCUUAUUACUCUAUGGAGUUAUUUUCUGGAAGAUUCCGUAAAUCAUAUGUAGGUCAUUGGUUCUCAUAUUUCAUCUAUUAGCAGUAUUUCACUAGUACAAGCUUUCAUUUUAAAGAACUAUUGUCAAAAGUACUGCCUGUAUGCUGAGGAAGUAGCUACAUGGAGCAUGGUUUUCACCUAAGUUGCAUGGACUCUUCACUUUAGAUGCUGCACCCAUUUAUCAGAUUCUCAUUUGUAUUUUUGGAGAACACGACAAGCAUCUGUUGACUUUUUUGAAGAGUUCGAGCAGCAUAGUUUUCACAAGUAGGGGAACAUGUGAGUGGUGAAACAGACUCUAAUUGAUUCUCCAGACCUAGUUUCAUACUUCAUAAUGCAUUGCAUUUGAGAAUCUAGCUUACCAGUGUAGUUAAUACAUUGGUAUAACUUCUUGAGAACUUUUUGCAUUCACUUCUCCGUGGGAAUAACCUGCUUCACUGUAGCAGCCUUUAUCAUGUAAGUAGUGGCUUUAAAACUCUAUAUGCAGGUGACUGUUGAACUGGAUCGAUGCUAUAUGCAUAGCAGUCUUGCUUUGCAAAAUGGAUUUCCUCUUGUUCUUCUCCUUAUAUGAGUUCUUGGAGUCUCCGUUGAUGUUAUCUUUUUGAUCUUCAGCUAUAGUCGUGAGACAAUCUUUAUUAACGAAAUUACACAUUUCAGGGAUCAUACUGACUGAAGAAUUAAGUCAGUCUAGCGAGAUCAAUCUACCCCCCACGAUCAGUGCUCAGACUUAUGGAUACUCUUUCUUGAGGUUCGCUUUGACAUGGUGCCUCUGUGUCCUGGUAAAAGCGUAAAUUUAGCCAAAACACGAUUAGCAUUUGUCAACAGUAUAAGUAUCUUAUGCAAUCUACUCUUCAUUUCCCCUUGCUCUUGCACGUGAAACGUAGAAACAUUUGUUCAGUUGGAAAACUAACAAAGUGGUAGUAAGAAUGCUGCAUUGCUACCUGAUGGUUUCGUUGCAUUACGUUAUAAACUUUGCUUCGGUUUCUCUUCCUUAGUAUUUUUCGAGAUCAAGCUGAGUUUAAUGCAGCAUUAUUAAGGUGGAAUCUAAGAUGUAAUUACUAUACAGUAACAGAAUAAGCUCUCUGUUCAAAAUCUGUUCAGAGGCUUUACUAUUUAUUUAUUAGUACCUAAAAAUGUUCUGUUCUGUAUCAUAGGAUGCUGCAUAUGUACGUUUAAGUUCAUAUAUCCUGUAUAGAUUUUCAUUCUACUCA